rnacentral:piRNA from 1 species
UCCCGCUAGAGUUUCGCGUUCUAUGAAGGG